rnacentral:rRNA from 1 species
GAAACUCAAAGGAAUUGACGGGGCCCGCACAAGCAGCGGAGCGUGUGGUUUAAUUCGAUGAUACACGAAGAACCUUACCAAGGUUUGACAUGCAAGUGGUAGUGAACUGAAAGGAACGACCUUCGGGAGCUUGCACAGGUGCUGCAUGGCUGUCGUCAGCUCGUGUCGUGAGAUGUUGGGUUAAGUCCCGCAACGAGCGCAACCCUUGUCAUUAGUUGCUACAUUCAGUUGGGCACUCUAAUGAGACUGCCGGUGACAAACCGGAGGAAGGUGGGGAUGACGUCAAGUCCUCAUGGCCCUUAUAGGUGGGGCUACACACGUCAUACAAUGGAUGGUACAAAGGGUCGCCAACCCGCGAGGGGGAGCCAAUCCCAUAAAGCCAUUCGUAGUCCGGAUCGCAGUCUGCAACUCGACUGCGUGAAGUCGGAAUCGCUAGUAAUCGUGGAUCAGAAUGUCGCGGUGAAUACGUUCCCGGGUCUU